AGUGAACGCUGGCGGUAGGCCUAACACAUGCAAGUCGAACGGCAGCACAGUAAGAGCUUGCUCUUACGGGUGGCGAGUGGCGGACGGGUGAGGAAUACAUCGGAAUCUACUUUUUCGUGGGGGAUAACGUAGGGAAACUUACGCUAAUACCGCAUACGACCUACGGGUGAAAGCAGGGGAUCUUCGGACCUUGCGCGAUUGAAUGCGCCGAUGUCGGAUUAGCUAGUUGGCGGGGUAAAGGCCCACCAAGGCGACGAUCCGUAGCUGGUCUGAGAGGAUGGUCGGCCACACGUGAGCUUGGACGCGGUCCAGGCUCCUGAGGGAGGCAGCAGUGGGGAAUAUUGGACAAUGGGCGCAAGCCUGAUCCAGCCAUACCGCGUGGGUGAAGAAGGCCUUCGGGUUGUAAAGCCCUUUUGUUGGGAAAGAAAAGCAGCAGGUUAAUACCCCGCUGUUCUGACGGUACCCAAAGAAUAAGCACCGGCUAACUUCGU
rnacentral:rRNA from 1 species